rnacentral:tRNA from 1 species
CAGGGAGACAACAAAAUGUUUAAUAUUAUUAUUUUGUCACCUUAGGUCGAUCGGUAUCUCACGUUCUUAAUUUAUUAAGAAUUUCAUUUUCUAAGUUUUCUAGGUCACCAUAUUUGGAUCCUGGGCCGUUAGCUCAGGUGGUUAGAGCGCACCCCUGAUAAGGGUGAGGUCCUGGUUCAAGUCCAGGAUGGCCCAUAUCUCUAUGUUGGGGGUAUAGCUCAGUUGGUAGAGCGCCUGCUUUGCAAGCAGGAUGUCAGCGUUCGAGUCCGCUUACCUCCACUGAUUUACCACCUCUUUCCAUACCCGGUAGUAAAGGAAAUGUUUUGAGUUGUGAUCAAAUUCUGAAAGAAUCUAGCUUCCUAAUGAAAUCAUUAAGAUGCUGGACUCAUUGAAUUAAUUUCAUUGUUUUCAGAGAACCUUGACAACUGCAUAGAUUAUUUUUAAAGACAAUAAGCAUCUUUAAUGAUGCAGAUUUAUUAUUUGUGCGAAUGCAUUAAUAACAAUUCUAUUAAGCUGAUGCUUCAA